rnacentral:lncRNA from 1 species
CAAAAUAUUUUCUUUCCAGAGGGUACCGGUAUUUUAUUCUUUGAGUUUUGUCGGAUUCUGUCAAUUGUUCAAAGGUUGUGCAAAGAUCGACAUGUCUUUUGGCUUUAUGAAAAUGUUGCUGCAAUGAAAACCAGUUACAAAAAUAUAAUCUCCAGAUUCCUAGGUGUAAGUACUAAUUUCUAAAUUAAGAUGUUGAUUAAAUAUCUGUUUUCAUAUGUUUAGCACUGUGGUAGUUAGAUUAGAUAACUUAUAGAAUCCAACCAGUUAUAAAUUUUAAGGUUUAAGUAAAAUAUAGCAUGUACUUCUGUUUUACAGAAUGGUAUGAAUUAAAUUUUGUUGACUUCGAAUUGUUUUGCAAAU